UUCUUAGGGAGGAGGAAGCACGGUCUAGAAGAAAUGAGGAAGGGCAUAAACUCAGCAAGAGCACUGAAGGGAAAGCCCGUCCACAGAGAAGGACUCUUCCAGGGACUGACGAGUCAACAGGAGGACGCAUAAGCAUUUAUAUUUACCUGGGGAAGAGUCUACGAUAACGCCUAUCGAGUAACGAUGAUUUUGUCAUAGAAGGAAAGCAUCAACCAAACUCAUAAAAUCGGCUGAGCCAAAUUAAGUCUUAAUUGCCUUACCAUCAGAAAUUAAGACCUGGUCCUGUUUGAAACAAAGGAUAAAAAUUACAGAAAGGAAAACAAUUAGUUUGAACAGAUCACCAUCAAAAUGAAUAGAGAUGAACAAAACACAACGUAAUGAUGUUAAUCUUUAAACUACUGCUUGCAGGAUUUUGAACAGCUGCUGUCCCAUGUUCUCGUCUGUGGAAAUGCGGCCCAAUCUUACCCCGUUGUGAAACUGUCACAACCAUAAGCCUCACAGAAAGCCAGGACUAAAUGUCCCAGGUAUGAAAGUAAGGCUUACCUGAUGCACCUAUUGGGGAGGUAGCUGGGGUCAUGUUGUGGACAUUGAGACCAAGGCUCUGGGAGGGGCCCGGGGCUGAUGCUGCUAUGGGAGGCCCCAGCGGGUUCUCCCUCUGGGGCGAGGUGAGCGGGGUGGUGGGCUGGGAGGUCUGUCCACCAGCAAGUCGUGCGAGGCGCCUCCGUCGGAUCUAUAACGUGAGAGGGAGAAAAGACCCGUAACUCAACCGCAGAAAACACAAUUCUGCCCGAGAAGAACAACAUUAACGUCAUCAACAACCAUCGAAAACCACGCCGGAGCUUAACAACUAAAUAUGCCUGGAGGAAAAAAGGACCCACUCAAGGCAAGUACUGACGUGGCAGACAGGUACACACCUCCUAGUGCCUUACAAUCCCUGUUUAUCACACCUCCUUGACCGAUAGUGUGACGCUACCGUAAGCAUACUACGUUUCUAAACACGCUGAAGCUCGUUAUUUGAAUACAACUAGGUAACUUGGCCAUUUUAAGUAAGUGAGAUUUUAAAUAAAUGAGAUUCACUAAAACAAAAGUUUCAAAAGUAACAAACGUUACAGUAAGACACAAACGUUACCAUCGCUUUCAGCAGCAAAGUGAUUAGAUUCUUCUUGCUGAACUGCAAUCAAAAUAUAAUCGGCCGCUGCUUCCUUAUAAUACUCCAGGGUUAGCAAGUGAUUACAAAUAUCUACCGCCAAAUCCCAGCGCAUCACAGAAACGUUUCCCUCACAUUUUGACAGUCAUUCAUUUACAGCCAGGCAAUAAACUCUCGCGGACCACCUGCUGUCCCACAGGCAGUGAGGAUGUCUAACCAACCGUGAUAAGGCUUCUGGUUCUGAGCAGGCAUCAAAGACGCAAACCAACGAGGCUGCUUGUGCUCAUUCCGUUACAGAUAAGGAAGAUGAAAGGGUCAGCCUGUGACAAACGCUAACAGGGAUGGACCUAAUCUGAACCAAGAACCUGCCAUUCCGACCCUGCGGGAAAGCCGCUCCUUUUAUCGUUCAAACGACCAAGAACAUCCUAGUUCUUGACCCCAAACCCGAGAAGCCCACUCCUGUGUCCCUGCUGCAAAUACAUCCCUCGGUGACCUUACACAAAAUCCUGAGGUUUGGUUGUUCAUCUACCUACAUCACUAGGAUAAAUCCCUCGAAGGAAAGAUUAGGUCUUAAUUAUUGGAAAUAAACAGGGAAGAAAUAAUUAAACACUGAUGCAGCACUUAAUCUCCCAGCAAUGUUCUCAACACUUUAUAAAUCUAUACUCACUGAAUCCUCGUAAUGAGUCUUCGUGGGUACUUAGGCCGAUUUUACAUGUGAGCAAACUGAGGCACAGGGGUUAGAUACUUGCCUCGUUCAUAAGUGGUAGGGCUGGAAUUCGAACCCAUGCAGUCCGGCUCUAGCGCCCACGCUCUUACCAGCAAUCCAGCGGCCUGGGGAUCCCUUGUGGUCUCCAAGACCCUCGCAGAGAGCACGUUGAGGCCAAAGCUAUUUUUACAGUAUCACUAAGAUAUCUGCCUCUUCAAUCUCAUUCUCAAGCGUCCAACGGGGUUUUCCAGAGGCU